rnacentral:rRNA from 1 species
GACGAACGCUGGCGGCGUGCUUAACACAUGCAAGUCGAACGGAAAGGCCCUGCUUUUGUUGGGUGCUCGAGUGGCGAACGGGUGAGUAACACGUGAGUAACCUGCCCUUGACUGUGGGAUAACUUCAGGGAACUGUGGCUAAUACCGGAUAUGAGCUCCUGCUGCAUGGGGUGGGUUGGAAAGUUUCGGCGGUUGGGGAUGGACUCGCGGCUUAUCAGCUUGUUGGUGGGGUAGUGGCUUACCAAGGCUUUGACGGGUAGCCGGCCUGAGAGGGUGACCGGCCACCAUGGGACUGAGAUACGGACCAGAAUGCUACGGGAGGCAGUAGUGGGGAAUAUUGCACAAUGGGGGGACGCCUGAUGAAGCAACGCCGCGUGCGGGAUGAAGGCCUUCGGGUUGUAAACCGCUUUCGCCUGUGACGAAGCGUGAGUGACGGUAAUGGGUAAAGAAGCACCGGCUAACUACGUG